UACCAGCACCCCGAGUGGUCGGGACGUUUAUUGGGCCUAAAGCAUCCGUAGCCGGUUCUACAAGUCUUCCGUUAAAUCCAGCUGCUUAACAGAUGGGCUGCGGAAGAUACUAUGGAGCUAGGAGGCGGGAGAGGCAAGCGGUACUCGAUGGGUAGGGGUAAAAUCCAUUGAUCCAUUGAAGACCACCAGUGGCGAAGGCGGCUUGCCAGAACGCGCUCGACGGUGAGGGAUGAAAGCUGGGGGAGCAAACCGG
rnacentral:rRNA from 1 species